rnacentral:rRNA from 1 species
UAAGGAAUAUUGCGCAAUGGGCGAAAGCCUGACGCAGCGACGCCGCGUGGGGGAUGAAGGUCUUCGGAUUGUAAACCCCUUUCGGGAGGGAAGAUGGAAUGGGGUAACCCAUUCGGACGGUACCUCCAGAAGCAGCCACGGCUAACUUCGUGCCAGCAGCCGCGGUAAUACGAAGGUGGCAAGCGUUAUUCGGAUUUACUGGGCGUACAGGGAGCGUAGGCGGUUCGGUAAGCCCUUUGUGAAAUCUCCAGGCUUAACCUGGAAAAGUCGGAGGGGACUGCCGGGCUAGAGGACGGGAGAGGAGCGCGGAAUUCCCGGUGUAGCGGUGAAAUGCGUAGAGAUCGGGAGGAAGGCCGGUGGCGAAGGCGGCGCUCUGGAACGUUUCUGACGCUGAGGCUCGAAAGCGUGGGGAGCAAACAGGAUUAGAUACCCUUGUAGUCCCUGAGCGGGCUGGCAAGGCGCAU